rnacentral:rRNA from 1 species
GUGGGGAAUAUUGGACAAUGGGCGAAAGCCUGAUCCAGCCAUGCCGCGUGUGUGAAGAAGGUCUUCGGAUUGUAAAGCACUUUAAGUUGGGAGGAAGGGCAGUAAGUUAAUACCUUGCUGUUUUGACGUUACCGACAGAAUAAGCACCGGCUAACUUCGUGCCAGCAGCCGCGGUAAUACGAAGGGUGCAAGCGUUAAUCGGAAUUACUGGGCGUAAAGCGCGCGUAGGUGGUUUUGUAAGUUGGAGGUGAAAUCCCCGGGCUCAACCUGGGAACUGCCUCCAAAACUGCAUGACUAGAGUACGGUAGAGGGUGGUGGAAUUUCCUGUGUAGCGGUGAAAUGCGUAGAUAUAGGAAGGAACACCAGUGGCGAAGGCGACCACCUGGACUGAUACUGACACUGAGGUGCGAAAGCGUGGGGAGCAAACAGGAUUAGAUACCCGAGUAGUCC